GAGUUUGAUCCUGGCUCAGAUUGAACGCUGGCGGCAGGCCUAACACAUGCAAGUCGAGCGGUAGAGAGAAGCUUGCUUCUCUUGAGAGCGGCGGACGGGUGAGUAAUGCCUAGGAAUCUGCCUGGUAGUGGGGGAUAACGUUCGGAAACGGACGCUAAUACCGCAUACGUCCUACGGGAGAAAGCAGGGGACCUUCGGGCCUUGCGCUAUCAGAUGAGCCUAGGUCGGAUUAGCUAGUUGGUGAGGUAAUGGCUCACCAAGGCGACGAUCCGUAACUGGUCUGAGAGGAUGAUCAGUCACACUGGAACUGAGACACGGUCCAGACUCCUACGGGAGGCAGCAGUGGGGAAUAUUGGACAAUGGGCGAAAGCCUGAUCCAGCCAUGCCGCGUGUGUGAAGAAGGUCUUCGGAUUGUAAAGCACUUUAAGUUGGGAGGAAGGGCAGUAAAUUAAUACUUUGCUGUUUUGACGUUACCGACAGAAUAAGCACCGGCUAACUCUGUGCCAGCAGCC
rnacentral:rRNA from 1 species